rnacentral:lncRNA from 1 species
AAGAGGAAUUAUCACUAAUGCACGGUUGUGCAGAUAUUGUGAUUGCGUCCUCGUGUUUUGCAACUCCGGAGUUAUGUUCACGGCCACUUACCUGCGACGCCUUUUCGUCUUGCUGGCAUUGGUAUCACUAUGCAGCCUGCAGUACAACGACGUCGGCC